GUGCCAGCCGCCGCGGUAAUACGUAGGGUGCGAGCGUUGUCCGGAUUUAUUGGGCGUAAAGAGCUUGUAGGCGGUUUGUCGCGUCGGGAGUGAAAACUUGGGGCUUAACCCUGAGCUUGCUUUCGAUACGGGCUGACUUGAGGGAGGUAGGGGAGAAUGGAAUUCCUGGUGGAGCGGUGGAAUGCGCAGAUAUCAGGAGGAACACCGGUGGCGAAGGCGGUUCUCUGGACCUUUCCUGACGCUGAGAAGCGAAAGCGUGGGGAGCGAACAGGCUUAGAUACCCUGGUAGUCCACGCCGUAAACGGUGGGUACUAGGUGUGGGGGACAUUCCACGUUCUCCGUGCCGUAGCUAACGCAUUAAGUACCCCGCCUGGGGAGUACGGCCGCAAGGCUAAAACUCAAAGAAAUUGACGG
rnacentral:rRNA from 1 species